CUUCCCGCAGCUGGUACUUCCGACUUCGCGUGACUCCGGCUGCGUCCGGGGAGCGGGGUUUUUAUGGGUUCAGAAGGGAGGAAGUGCAUGCUGAUUGGUCCAUGGGUGGCCAUGGGCGGGCCUGGAAAAAGAACCAUUAGUGCUCACUCCAGGCCACAGACUCCGACCGGAACUGACAGCGCGGCCUCCAGGAUUGAAGCCAUCCCUGGCUUGAAGUAGCCUAAGGAGAUUUGCUAGUUUGAGUCCUGGGAGAUGAGAUGGGGAAGAUGGGCCCAAGCUGCAACAUGAAGGUCCAUGAUGAACAGUUGGCAUCUCCUACAGUGCCUGCCACUUGCUGCACAUCAUUGAGCAAGAGGGACACCAUGGAUAAUGGAAAGAUCUACGGCAAGGCUGGCUGUCUGCCCUGUCUAAGGAGGACGUACUGGACCAUCCUGCUCUGCACAUCCAGAUGUGUCCAUGAAUACAUCCAUAAAACGAUGGCCUGUGGAAUCCUAUAGGAAAAUGAUCCAGAGCCUGGGCGGUCAGAAGGAACAAACACUUGAUUUACAAAAUAAAUCUUCUAUGUUUAUGUUUUAAAGACACACAGAGGAAAAACAUUUUUAAAUUCAUGAUUUCCCCCCCCAGAUUUUAACUAUUGUAAUCUCUUUCUUUCCUGAGCCUUAGGCAUCUUCAUUAUAAACCAAAAGAUAUAACUUGAGAUUUUCCCAGGGUUUAUAUACUCGUUAGAGUUGGAAACAUGAAAAUGGCAAUUUGGGAUGUCUCUUUGGAGUCAAAAACCUUAUAAAAAUAUAAUGUACUUUCUCUCUCUCUUCAUUUCCUCAUUUUUCUGGUCAAAGCUAGAAGAGUAAGAUGUCUUUGAAACUAUUAAGAUAAUUUUUAAGACAUGGUAUAAUUGUGAAUUUUAUAUAGAUAUAAAAUGAACAGGUAUCAAAGACUUUAUUAGCUUAUUAAUUAAUAAGAGAACGGGUAAAUGUUAUAAUUGGUAUAAAAAGCAGAGGCAUAUGUAGGAAAUUAGGAAUCUGAAAUGAAUUUACAAAUUGAUGGUCUAUCCAUGAGGCAAUAAUUGGUUGCAUUCCACCAGUCACAAUUGAUUUGCAUUUCUAUGAACAAGAGAUGGAUGAGCUAGACAGGAUAGUCACUCACUUUUUGUUCUGAGCCCAUUUCAAAGUCUCAGUUGUUUUCCUUACUAAAACAUCUAUCUCUAAUAUCCCAUUAUAUGUAUUAAUAUCCCAUUAUAUAUUAUAUUUUAUAAUAUAUAAUGUAUCCCAUUAUAAUAUAUAUUUUUUAUAAUAUAUAAUAUAUAUCCCAUUAUCCCAUAUAUAUUCCCAUAUAUAUUAUAUAAUAUAAAAUAUAUCCUAUUAUAAUAUAUAUUAUAUAUUUUAUAUAUAAGUGAUUUCCAAAUGAGUUCUAUAUAUAUUAUAAAUUAAUAUCCCAUUAUAUAUACAUUUGCAUAAAUAUAUGUAAUGGGAUAUUAAUUUUUAAUAUACAUAGAACCCCUUUGGAAAUCCCUUUCCACAAUUACAAGCAAUAGAUAUUUUGGCAGAGUUUUAGUUAUGGGGUGAUUAGAUUUUCUAGCAUGUUGAGAUUUAGUGGGUCUUAAUUUACCCAAAGUCAUUUAACCAAAGUAAAAUUGAGAUUCAAACCCAGAUAGAUUCUGAUUUUAAAAAGCCAUGUUUCUGUCUCCUCCCCCUCAAAAAAAUGGGUGAAAAAAUGGUGGCUCAGGGUCAGAUACAAGCUUUUCACUUGUAAGGGUAAAAUAAUUAAGUCAUAAAUGAUUAGAGCUAAAUAAACCUCUCUUAACCAAUAUCUUCCUGAGAAGCACAAUAGUUGACAAUAAAGCCGAGAAGCACUGGGAAGCUGAG
rnacentral:lncRNA from 10 species